rnacentral:tRNA from 1 species
AGAACUAGUUAGGAUGCUAGUCAACUCACUCGUAAUGAGCAGGCCGUCGGUUCGAUUCCGACCAUCGGCUCCA